CCGGGAGUGCUGCCUGAGGAGACCGGUUGGCGGGGCAUGUGUGGCCGCUCCCGGGCGCCGCCCUCCCGCGCUCCCGGCCCUUUGUCCUGCAGUCAGACCCCGGACACCGCCCUCGCGGGUCUCGGUGGGAAAACAGGCUCCCCCGCCCGCGGCGAUCCCUGAGAGAACCUUCCAGAACUUUCGAGAAUCUUCCAGGUCCUACGGCACCUCCCAGCCCGGGAGCUGCGCGCCACGGACCCAAUUCCAGCAGAUCCCAACCGAUCCCAAAGCCAGGCAUCCCCGCAAAGGCGUCAUAAGCUUCUGAACUAGAGCAGGACCCACCUUGGGAGGGUCCCAAGACCCCGGGGGGCACCGGAAACAGCCGCGGGUGGCGGGAGCCCCGGAGCGGUCGCUCCAUCAGUGUCAGGCCUUUCCCUGAGCGGUUUUUGAUUUUUUUUCAGACGGAGUCUCGCUCUGUCACCCAGGCUGGAGUGCAGUGGCGCGAGCUCAGCUCACUGCAGCCUCCUCCUGCUGGGAUUACAGGUGCGCGCCACCCCACCCGGCUAAUUUUUGUAUUUUUAGUAGAGAAUACUAAAUGUUGAUCAGGCUGCUCUCAAGCUCCUGACCUCAGGUGAUCGGCCUGCCUCGGCCUCCCAAAGUAUUGGGAUUACAGGCCUGAGCCACCUCGCCAGCCCCCACAGUUCUUUAAAAGCAAAGGAGGCCGAAUUGGCAGAUCCUUUAAGCCCAAGGAUUGGAGACCAGCCUGGGCAACAUGGCGAGACCCCAUCUCUAUAAAAAAGAUACAGGCUCACUCCUGUAAUCCCAGCAGGAGGCCGAGGCGGGCAGAUCACAUGAGGUCAGGAGAUCGAGACCAGCAUUGCCAACAUGGUGAAACCCCGUCUUUACUACAAAUAGAAAAAUUAGCCGGGCGUGGUGGCGAUGCCUGUAAUCCCAACUAUUCAGGAGGCUGAGGCAGGAGAAUCGCUUGAACCCGGGAGGCGGAACUUGCAGUAAGGGGAGAUCGCGCCACUGCACUCCAGCCUGGGCAACAGAGUGGGACUUCGUCUCAAAAAAGGAAAAAAUUAAAAGACUUACAGCAGCAUUCGUCACGCACUGGCCCCGACUCUUCAAGGGGAAGGGGCGACAGCAAAGCCGGCUCUAACUUCUUUUUCCUUCUCACAUUUGCGGGAAUAGAAGGUUUGUGUCUUCGGUCGAUCCCAGCAACCUCAGCGACUGAUUUUUUUUCCUUUAUCAAGUUGAGAAUGUUCACCUUUCACUUGUUUUUUAUUUUUAUUUACAUUUUUGAGUCGAAGUUUGGCUCUGUGGCCCAGGCUGGAGUGCAGCGGCCCAGUCAUAGCUCACUGCAGCCUCAACCUCCCAGGCUCAAAUGAUCCUUCCACCUUAGCCUCCGGAGUAGCUGGGACCACAGUGCGCACCACCAUGGCUGGCUAAGAUUUUUAUUUUUUGUAGAGAGAGGGUCUUGCUAUGCUGGCCAGGCUGGUUUCGACCUUUUGGGCUCAAGUGAUCCUCCCACCUCGGCUCCCCAAAGUGCUGGGAUCACAGGUAGGAUCCACCUUGCUCAGCCGUCUCAGUUUGUCUAUAAAAUGGGGGUGGUGGUCUGUGGGUGGUUGGCAAGAACUAUGUCUCUGAUAUCCUCUCACGUUAAAUCUGAGCUGGCGGUGGCUCAGGCCUGUAAUCCCAGCACUUUGGGAGGUCAAGGCAGACAUAUCGCCUGAGGUCAGGAGUUCGAGACCAGCCUGGCCAAUAUAGAGAAACCCCCAUCGCUACUAAAAAUACAAAAAUUGGCUGAGCGUGGUAGUGUGCACCUGUAAUCCCAGCUAUUUGGGAGGCUGAGGCAAGAAAAUCUCUUGAACCCAGGAGGCGGAGGUUGCAGUGAGCUGAGAUCGCGUCAGUGUACUCCAAUGUGGGUGACAGAGCAAGACUGACUCUGUCUCAAAAAGAAAAAAGAAAAAAUCCUGGGCUGGCGUGUGACCUGCUUCAGCCCAGGGAAUACAGCAGAAGGGGUGCUGUGCCAGAUCCAAGCCUCUGCCUCAGGAGGAGUGGGGCCCAGUGCGGUGGCUCCCGCCUGUGCUUUGGGAGGUGCUUUGGGAGGCUGAGAUGGGAGGAUCACAUGAGCCCAGGAGUUGGAGACAGGCCUGGGCAACAUAGUGAGACCCUGCCUGUACAAAAACAAAAAAGAAUUAGCCAGGCAUGGUGAUGCACACCUGUAGUCCCAGCUACCCAGGAGGCUGAGGCAGGAGGAUUGCGUGAGUCUGGGAGGUCGAGGCUGCAGUGAACCGUGAUUGCACCACUGCACUCCACAUGACAAAGCAAGACCCUGUCUCAAAAACAAAACAAAACAAAACACAGCGUGGCAACAGCUCACGCCUGUAAUCCCAACACUUUGGGAGGCCAAGAUGGGAGGAUUCCUUGAGCCCAGGAGUUCAAAGCUCCUAUGAGCUCAAAUGAGGUAUAUUUUUUUAAUUUGUUUUAGAGACAGAGUCUUGCUCUUGUUGCCCAGGCUGGAGUGCACUGGUGCAAUCUCGGCUCGCUGCAACCUAUACCUCCCAGGUUCAAGCCAUUCUCCUGCCUCAGCCUCCCCAGUAGCUGGGAUUACAGGCACACGCC
rnacentral:lncRNA from 1 species